rnacentral:tRNA from 1 species
GUCUUAUAGUUUAAUAAAAAUAUUAAAUUGCAAAUUUAAUGAUAGAUUAAUAAUUCUUAUGACU